rnacentral:rRNA from 1 species
AUCGUAAGGUUUGCUGGAGGUAUCAGAAGUGCGAAUGCUGACAUGAGUAACGACAAAGGGGGUGAAAAACCUCCUCGCCGGAAGACCAAGGGUUCCUGUCCAACGUUAAUCGGGGCAGGGUGAGUCGACCCCUAAGGUGAGGCCGAAAGGCGUAAUCGAUGGGAAACGGGUUAAUAUUCCCGUACUUCUGACUAUUGCGAUGGGGGGACGGAGAAGGCUAGGUGGGCCAGGCGACGGUUGUCCUGGUUCAAGUGCGUAGGCUUGAGAGUUAGGUAAAUCCGGCUCUCUCUAAGGCUGAGACACGACGUCGAGCUGCUACGGCAGUGAAGUCAUUGAUGCCAUGCUUCCAGGAAAAGCCUCUAAGCUUCAGAUAGUCAGGAAUCGUACCCCAAACCGACACAGGUGGUCGGGUAGAGAAUACCAAGGCGCUUGAGAGAACUCGGGUGAAGGAACUAGGCAAAAUGGUACCGUAACUUCGGGAGAAGGUACGCUCUUGAUGGUGAAGUCCCUCGCGGAUGGAGCUGACGAGAGUCGCAGAUACCAGGUGGCUGCAACUGUUUAUUAAAAACACAGCACUGUGCAAAAUCGCAAGAUGACGUAUACGGUGUGACGCCUGCCCGGUGCCGGAAGGUUAAUUGAUGGGGUUAGCGCAAGCGAAGCUCUUGAUCGAAGCCCCGGUAAACGGCGGCCGUAACUAUAACGGUCCUAAGGUAGCGAAAUUCCUUGUCGGGUAAGUUCCGACCUGCACGAAUGGCGUAAUGAUGGCCACGCUGUCUCCACCCGAGACUCAGUGAAAUUGAAAUCGCUGUGAAGAUGCAGUGUACCCGCGGCUAGACGGAAAGACCCCGUGAACCUUUACUACAGCUUGGCACUGAACAUUGAACCUACAUGUGUAGGAUAGGUGGGAGGCUAUGAAGACGUGACGCCAGUUGCGUUGGAGCCGUCCUUGAAAUACCACCCUUGUAUGUUUGAUGUUCUAACUUAGACCCGUUAUCCGGGUUGAGGACAGUGCCUGGUGGGUAGUUUGACUGGGGCGGUCUCCUCCCAAAGAGUAACGGAGGAGCACGAAGGUGGGCUAAUCACGGUUGGACAUCGUGAGGUUAGUGCAAUGGCAUAAGCCCGCUUAACUGCGAGAAUGACGGUUCGAGCAGGUGCGAAAGCAGGUCAUAGUGAUCCGGUGGUUCUGUAUGGAAGGGCCAUCGCUCAACGGAUAAAAGGUACUCCGGGGAUAACAGGCUGAUACCGCCCAAGAGUUCAUAUCGACGGCGGUGUUUGGCACCUCGAUGUCGGCUCAUCACAUCCUGGGGCUGAAGUCGGUCCCAAGGGUAUGGCUGUUCGCCAUUUAAAGUGGUACGCGAGCUGGGUUUAGAACGUCGUGAGACAGUUCGGUCCCUAUCUGCCGUGGGCGUUGGAAGAUUGAAGGGGGCUGCUCCUAGUACGAGAGGACCGGAGUGGACGAACCUCUGGUGUUCGGGUUGUGUCGCCAGACGCAUUGCCCGGUAGCUAAGUUCGGAAUUGAUAAGCGCUGAAAGCAUCUAAGCGCGAAGCGAGCCCUGAGAUGAGUCUUCCCUGAUACUUUAAGU